UACGUAGGGGGCAAGCGUUGUCCGGAUUUAUUGGGCGUAAAGAGCGUGUAGGCGGCUAGGUAGGUCCGUUGUGAAAACUCGAGGCUCAACCUCGAGACGUCGAUGGAAACCAUCUAGCUAGAGUCCGGAAGAGGAGAGUGGAAUUCCUGGUGUAGCGGUGAAAUGCGCAGAUAUCAGGAAGAACACCCGUGGCGAAGGCGGCUUACUGGUCCGGUUCUGACGCUGAGGCGCGAAAGCGUGGGGAGCAAACAGG
rnacentral:rRNA from 1 species